CUCACUCGCUCUCUCUCUCAUCCACAGGGCUCUUUCAGCUCAUUCAAACCGUCCUCCAUUUUUAAUGACUUCUUUAUCUCCGGACUGAGGAGGAGAUUUGUUUGUGCUUUCAUGUAAAUUCUGUCAAGUAAAGUGGAGGCCCAGGACGCUGUCGGAUUAGAGGGGGCGAGACUCUGACAGUGACUGUCAGGGCCUGCAGCCUGACACGGGAGUGAUCAUCUGGAAGAGAGGAUGGGAGGAAGAAACCAGCGUUGAAUUAAUCAUAUUAACGAGGGCAUCAGGAGAAGAAAAGCGUGAGAGGGACGGAGACACCGACAGUAAAAGAGAGGAAUGGGAAGUGGUGAUGGAGGAGUGACAAGAGGGGCUUCAUGCUGUGGCACAAAUGGAAACAGAGUGGUGGAAAUGCAACAUGGCUCAUGUCACGUGACUGAUCCUGUAUGGCAAACACAAUGAUGCUGCUGUCAGUUGGAAACAUUGAUGAUAAGAAGUUAGGAGAACAAAAUAAUUAAAAUAAUUGUUUGGGGACUCGCUGAUUUUAGCUAUUUGAAACUUUCUUCAUGGAAUACCUUAAGGGUUAAUAAAAUCAGCAGUUAGAACACCAUGUAUACACUACAAUGGGCUCAACCUGAAUAUGAACAUGCAUUUAUGGUCAGUAACAUCAAUGAAAUUAAAACAAUGCAGCCUUAAAUCUAGAUUUGUGUUCAUAUUCAAAAAUAAUUUGUUGCAAUUGUAUGUUCUGUACAAUAUUUGCAGUCCGAAGUCAAGAAAUGUAACUUUAAAGUAAUUGUAUUCAAGGUUUAUUUCUGUGACAGCAGAGAUUAAAGAAGGCUGAAACAAACUUGA